rnacentral:rRNA from 1 species
UACGUAGGGGGCAAGCGUUAUCCGGAUUCAUUGGGCGUAAAGAGCGCGUAGGCGGUUUGUUAAGCGAGAUGUGAAAACCGGGGGCUCAACCCGCGGCCUGCAUCUCGAACUGGCAGACUUGAGUCUGGUAGAGGAAAGUGGAAUUCCCAGUGUAGCGGUGAAAUGCGCAGAUAUUGGGAGGAACACCAGUGGCGAAGGCGGCUUUCUGGGCCACGACUGACGCUGAGGCGCGAAAGCUAGGGGAGCAAACAGG